rnacentral:rRNA from 1 species
AUUGAACGCUGGCGGCAGGCCUAACACAUGCAAGUCGAGCGAGCGGCGGACGGGUGAGUAAUGUCUGGGAAACUGCCUGAUGGUGGGGGAUAACUACUUGAAACGGUAGCUAAUACCGCAUACCAUCAGAUGUGCCCAGAUGGGAUUGGCUUGUAGGUGGGGUAACGGCUCACCUAGGCGACGAUCCCUAGCUGGUCUGAGAGGAUGACCAGCCACACUGGAACUGAGGAACGGUCAGGACUCCUACGGGAGGCAGAAGUGGGGAAUAGUGCAGAAUGGGCGCAAGCCUGAUGCAGCCAUGCAGCGUGUGUGAAGAAGGCCUUCGGGUUGUAAAGCACUUUAAGCGGGGAGGCGUUACCCGCAGAAGAAGCACCGGCUAACUCCGUGCCAGCAGCCGCGGUAAUUC